rnacentral:rRNA from 1 species
CGGCCGCGGUACUCUAACCGUGCAAAGGUAGCACAAUCACUUGUUCUCUAAAUAGGGACUAGAAUCAAUGGCAUCACGAGGGUUCUACGUCUCCUUUUUCCAAUCAGUGAAACUGAUCUUCCCGUGAAGAAGCGGGAAUGACUUUAUAAGACGAGAAGACCCCAUGGAGCUUCAAACUCACCAGUUACCCCAUCUAAACUACACGACAAUUAAGGGGAAAUAUCUGUUGGUUUUGGGUUGGGGUGACCACGGAGAAUAGAAUAACCUCCGCAAUGAAAAGAAUAAUAUCCUUAUCCAAGAGUUACACCUCUAAGAAUUAAUAAAUUAACAUACAAUGUUCCGAUACUUUGUAUUCGAUCAAUGAACUAAGUUACCCUGGGGAUAACAGCGCCAUCUACUUUGAGAGUUCUUAUCGACAAGUGGGUUUACGACCUCGAUGUUGGAUCAGGGUAUCCCAGUGGUGCAGCCGCUACUAAAGGUUCGUUUGUUCAACGAUUAAAACCCUACGUGAUCUG